GACGAACGCUGGCGGCGUGCUUAACACAUGCAAGUCGAACGCUGAAGCUUGGUGCUUGCACUGGGUGGAUGAGUGGCGAACGGGUGAGUAAUACGUGAGUAACCUGCCCUUGACUCUGGGAUAAGCCUGGGAAACUGGGUCUAAUACUGGAUAUGACAUGCCACUGCAUGGUGGUGUGUGGAAAGGGUUUUACUGGUUUUGGAUGGGCUCACGGCCUAUCAGCUUGUUGGUGGGGUAAUGGCCUACCAAGGCGACGACGGGUAGCCGGCCUGAGAGGGUGACCGGCCACACUGGGACUGAGACACGGCCCAGACUCCUACGGGAGGCAGCAGUGGGGAAUAUUGCACAAUGGGCGGAAGCCUGAUGCAGCGACGCCGCGUGAGGGAUGACGGCCUUCGGGUUGUAAACCUCUUUCAGAACGGAAGAAGCGAGAGUGACGGUACGUGCAGAAGAAGCGCCGGCUAACUACGU
rnacentral:rRNA from 1 species